rnacentral:rRNA from 1 species
ACUCUCGGCAACGGAUAUCUCGGCUCUCGCAUCGAUGAAGAACGUAGCGAACUGCGAUACUUGGUGUGAAUUGCAGAAUCCCGUGAACCAUCGAGUCUUUGAACGCAAGUUGCGCCCGAAGCCAUUAGGCCUAGGGCACGUCUGCCUGGGCGUCACGC